rnacentral:rRNA from 1 species
AGUCUGACCUGCCCAUGAUAUUUAUUUAAUGGCCGCAGUAUAUUAACUGUGCAAAGGUAGCAUAAUCAUUAGUUUCUUAAUUGGAAGCUUGUAUGAAGGGUUUGAUGAAAAAAUUUCUGUCUCUGGAGAAAUUUAUUAGAAUUUUAUUUUUAAGUGAAAAAGCUUAAAUUUAUAUAGAAGACGAGAAGACCCUAUAGAGUUUAAUAUUUUUAUUUAAUUAAUUAAAAUUACAUUAAGUAUUUAGUUGGGGUGACGAAAAAAUUAAUUUAACUUUUUUUUCUUUAUACAUUAGUGUAUGGAUAUAUGAUCCUAAAUUUAGAUUAUAAGAAGAAACUACCUUAGGGAUAACAGCGUAAUUUUCUCUAGAGUUCUUAUCGAAAAGAAAGGUUGCGACCUCGAUGUUGGAUUAAAAUUAAUUGUUGGUGAAGAAGUUUAUAAAUUAGGUCUGUUCGACCUUUAAAAUUUUACAUGAUCUGAGUUUAAACCGGUGUGAG